AUUAAUUCUCUCUCUAAAUUCAAAUCAUACGACGAGAGGCAAUGUGGAAGGCAUCGGCUGAACAUGAGGAAUUAGGGAUGCAAUAAUAAUAGAGGGAAUUGCUAUCUCAAAAGCGGCUGAGUUUGCUUUUGCCAUGGGAUGGACAAACAUUGUGCUGGAGGAAGACGCGCAAGGAAUCAUUGGCCAGAUCACUGACCAACAAGAACAUAAUUUGUCUUUAAUUGGAAACCAAAUAAUGGAGGUCCAAUAUGGUCUAACCAAGUUUCAGAACUGGAAGGCAAUGUUUGUUCAGAGAGAAGCGAAUGAGGUGAUGCACAAGUUGGUUAAAAUGGCAGUGAAAAAUGUGGAGACUUGACAGUGGCUUAAUGUUUGCCCAGUGGAACUAAUAGGCAUUGUAACCCAAGAGGCUGUUUAUAGAAUUAAUGGAAUGACUUUUGCUUUUU